CAGUCCCUUGGCUCCAGCCCCACCCUCUCUUCCCGUCUGGGCCAUGAUUUUACCAGCUGCAUAAUAUGGCCACGUCAUGGUCACUACUGAGUGCUGAAAACUCAAGUCAAUGGCUUUGCAGCUUCUGGGAUUGGUUCUUUGGCUCUGCUUGAUGUCAGAUAAGAAAUGGCUUUCAGGGGACAGUUAGAUAAGGCCUCAGGACACAGAGCAGCAGGGCUGCCUGGCCUAGGGACUCUUCAAAAGCUAUCAGAGACCAACUGGUACGCCUCACGUCCAGGAGCGGGGAUGGAGGGUCUGCCUCUCACUCAACAGGAAAUUCAUUGAGCACAGCCUGCUCCCUCUGAGCCUGGGCACAGAGAUGGAAGAAGAAGAAGAAGAAGAAGAAGAAGAAGAAGAAGGAGGAGGAGGAGGAGGAGGAGGAGGAGAAGAAGAUUGGCCAUUUUGCUACAGAAGGGUUGAUAUCUUCUUCAAGGUCAUGUUAAAUCCUGACGUAACACUAUAGAAGAAGAGCAUUCCAUAGAGGAGAAGAGGCCUGUUGAGCAUCCAUCGGCAUCACCUACGCGGACCUACACCAGCCACCCUGUUUCCUGUUUGUGAA